rnacentral:rRNA from 1 species
ACUUUGAUCCUGGCUCGGGAUGAACGCUGGCGGCAUGCCUAACACAUGCAAGUCGAGCGAGAAGCUUAGGAAAGAGCCUUCGGGUGAAAGAAUAAGCGGAAAGCGGCGGACGGGUGAGUAACGCGUGGGUAACCUGCCCUAUGGAGGGGGAUAACGUUUUGAAAAGAACGCUAAUACCGCAUAAGCGCACAGUAUCGCAUGGUACAGUGUGAAAAACUCCGGUGCCAUAGGAUAGACCCGCGUCAGAUUGGCUAGUUGGUGGGGUAAAGGCCUACCAAGGCGACGAUCUGUAGCCGACCUGAGAGGGUGAUCGGCCACAUUGGGACUGAGACACGGCCCAAACUCCUACGGGAGGCAGCAGUGGGGGAUAUUGCACAAUGGGGGAAACCCUGAUGCAGCAAUGCCGCGUGAAGGAAGAAGGUUUUCGGAUUGUAAACUUCUAUCAGCAGGGAAGAAAAUGACUGUACCUGACUAAGAAGCCCCGGCUAACUACGUGCCAGCAGCCGCGGUA